rnacentral:lncRNA from 1 species
UCAUUUUCAUGGUUCAGUGGUUAUAGUUAAAUUUUUGUGUUUUGGUCUGUUUUUUACAUACUAUAUGUAAUAGGUCUACUAUAUUUGAUGUAUGGAAUGAUUGUAAGGUGUACAUGUCUAGCGGGCAGAUGUCAUGUGACCUUGACCUCAUUUUCAUGGUUCAGUGGUCAAAGUUCAGUUUUUGAGUUUUGGUCUUUUUAUUUAAUACUAUAUGCCAUAGGUCAACUAUAUUUGGUGUAUGGAAAUAUUUUAUGAUCUUUAUGUCAGUAGCGCAUGUUUCUGUUGACUGUGACCUCAUUUUUGACGGUUCAUUGCACAGUGUUAAGUUUUUUUUUUUUGGUCUAUUUUUCUUAAACUAUAAGUAAUAGGUCAACUAUAUAUGUUGUAUAGAAGCAUUGUUAGCUGUACCUGUCUGCCUGGCAUGGUUCAUCUGACCUUGACUUCAUUUUCAUGGUUCAUUGGUCUUUGUUUAGUUAUCUUGGUUAAUGUUAAGUUUAUGAGACAGUUGGAAUAAAGCUUUAUACUUAGGACUAUCAACAUAAUAUCAAUGAUUAGUAUAGAAGGCGAGACAUUUCAGCGUGUGCACUCUUGUUAAUCGAUUAUUGUUGUGUUAGGAUCACUGUAACUGUAAACAGUAUUAUAUUUAGAAUGUUAAUCAACUAAUGAACUGUAUAUGUAGGUGCAAUCAUACAUGUUUUAUAAAUAU